CAUUUCGGUCAGGCUGGUCUUGAACUCCAGACCUCAAGUGAUCCGGCCGCCUUGGCCUCCCAGAAUGCUGGGAUGACAGGUGUGAGCCACCGUGCCCAGCUGGCUAAUUUUUAAAAGUUUUUGUAGAGGUGGAGUUUCACUGUGUUGCCCAGCCAUAUUGAAUGGGCAUAGCUCAUUCAGUAAGCAAGGAAAUAAACAAUGGCGUGGGCCCAGCCCGCUGUAGUGCGUGAGCGGACCCAAAGGCUUCAGGAGAUGGGCUAGACCGUUUGUAUUCUUUUUAAAUGUUCAGAUAAUUCAGACUUACAAAGGAGCAACAGAAACAGCACAGACGCCCCCUGCAGCUUCCUCCUCCUUCAGUUUACAUUUUUCAUGAACACGAACGUUAUGAACACCAAGACGUUAGCCUUGGUGCUACGCUAAUCACAAAAGUGCUAGAUGGGCCGGGUGCGAUGGCUCACGCCUGUAAUCUCAGCACUUUGGGAGGCUGAGGAGGGCAGAUCACGAGGUCAGGGCAUUGAGACCAUCCUGGCUAACACGAUGAAACCAUGUCUCUACUAAAAAUA
rnacentral:lncRNA from 10 species